GAGCUGAGGAGAGCCAGCCAGCUUGCAUCGGCGAAAAUUAUUACCACAUGGGCUGUUCUGCCCAAUGUCCCAUGCAUCCCCUCACUGACAACAGCUCCAGUAUCCUGGGAGAGGAGGAAACCCUUCAGGCCCACACAGGAGGUUGGGGCAGUGAGGCAGAGUGGUGAGCCUCCCUCACCUUUCGGGAGAUGGAUUGGGCCGCUAUCUGGGCAGCCUUGGUGGAAUGGGGCAAAAGUUGUCACCACACUGCCAUCAUCUUUCUGGACCUACUUGAUCAAUAAGCAUCAGCAGUUCGUUUAAAAAUAGGUCAGCCAACUCUGAUCAAUAUAAUGAUCCAUGACAAUUCCAAAGGACUCAUGAUGAAAAAUGCUAUCCACCUCCUGAG